rnacentral:sRNA from 1 species
CCCUCAGUUACAUUACAAAUGCACUCACCACCCAGGUUAGGACUGGGGUUAGAAGUUAGGAUUGGAUUAGGAUUAGGGUUGGUUGAGAGAUGUCGUUUAAGUCCUCGCAUCGUGAGAAACUGUAGUUGACUGCUUGGAUAUGUAUUAAUAAUGUUUCAUGUAUAGUUAUUUAGUUGAGUUGGUUUUUGAUCAGAGAUUGUUCAAAGUGUAUGCCCAGAAUAGUUAACAUGUUAACUUUGGCUGAGGCGAUGGGGAUGAUGAUUGAACGAUUACGGCAUUUUCUGCUCUCUUCUCUCCUCAUAUGGCUUAUAUAUGUGUAGAUAGAGAUAUUUUACUAUCAUUUUCACGCAUAUGCGAUUGAAUAUGUGUUUGCUGGGGGAGUUUCUUUCGGUGUUCGCAUACUGGGCAUUUGCACAUUCAGUUGCGCU